UACGGGGGGGGUAAGCGUUGUUCGGAAUUACUGGGCGUAAAGGGUCUGUAGGUGGCCAACUAAGUCAGACGUGAAAUCCCUCAGCUUAACUGGGGAACUGCGUCUGAUACUGGAUGGCUUGAGUGUGGGAGAGGAAUGCGGAAUUCCAGGUGUAGCGGUGAAAUGCGUAGAUAUCUGGAGGAACACCGGUGGCGAAGGCGACUCACUGGCCCGAUACUGACGCUGAGGCGCGAAAGCGUGGGGAGCAAACAGG
rnacentral:rRNA from 1 species